rnacentral:rRNA from 1 species
CCUACGGGAGGCUGCAGUGGGGAAUAUUGCGCAAUGGGCGAAAGCCUGACGCAGCGACGCCGCGUGAGGGAUGAAGGUUUUCGGAUCGUAAACCUCUGUCAGAAGGGAAGAAGUUGCAUGGGGCCAAUCACCUGUGCAUUGACGGUACCUUCAAAGGAAGCACCGGCUAACUCCGUGCCAGCAGCCGCGGUAAUACGGUGGGUGCGAGCGUUAAUCGGAAUUACUGGGCGUAAAGCGCACGUAGGCUGUAUGUCAAGUCAAGGGUGAAAGCCCACGGCUCAACCGUGGAACUGCCUUUGAAACUGGCAAUGUGGAGUAUGUGGGAGGGUGGCGGAAUUCGUGGUGUAGGAGUGAAAUGCGUAGAUAUCACGAAGAACAGCAGUGGCGAAGGCAGCUGCCUAACACAAAACUGACACUGAGGUGCGAAAGCGUGGGUAGCAAACAGGAUUAGAUACCCGUGUAGUC